rnacentral:rRNA from 1 species
GGGUCUGUAGGUUGGUCGUGCCACCGGUACGUACUGGUCUCACUGAUUCCUCCUUCCUGAAGAACCUUAAUGCCAUUAAUUUGGUGUUGCGGGGAAACAGGACUGUUACUUUGAAAAAAUUAGAGUGUUUAAAUCAAGCUAACGCUUGAAUACAUUAGCAUGGAAUAAUGAAACAGGACGAUCGAUCCUAUUUUGUUGGUUUCUAGGAUUGACGUAAUGAUUAAUAUGGAUAUUUGGG